rnacentral:lncRNA from 1 species
AUGGCACAGAUUCCCCUGAGAAGCCACAGUGACGGCUGGCGAGAGGCAGAGCUCGGACCCUGUGCACACUGGGCCCUGCUCUGGAAGGGGCAUUUGGCCACCCGGGGCUGCUUCUUGCAAGGUGAUGCCAAGGUGAGCAGCAGGGGAGGCAGGACCACGAGGAGGCAGCUGAGAAAACCUCUGCGCAGGGCGCUCCGACAGCCCUCAGCGGCGGCACUGGGGAACCUCUCCAACUUACUCCUGUGGCUGCCACUGAGAAAUCCCUGGGGCCACUCAGCGGGUCUGAAGCACAGCUCAUUCUGCAGUUGUGCUUGCCCGGGGGGGGGGCUGGCCCCCUCUGCCCAGCGUGUGGGGCCGUGCUCCCCGUACCGCAGAGCAUUGGAAGCGGGAGGCGAGCUGUGCCGGACCAGGAGGCUGAUAUGGGCUGUAGGAGCAGCAGGGGAAUGCUGUGCAGCAGUGGUGAAAGACCUCAAAAUGGUCCUCAGCCCCUGCUGCUUCCCAGGGCAAACAGCAUCCCUGCAAUGUACCUGCACACCAGGCAGCUCGGGUCAGAUUUAUUUCUGUGGGAUGGAGGCGAAAGAUAAUACCAGCCAGGCUGGGGGAGACUUCGCCCUCCAGCACAGCUCUGGGCCCCAUCCAGCCCUCAGCCUUCCCUUCAGCCUCCAGGUGAAGCAGCCCGGUAGCACCUCAUCCACCUCUGCUCUCCAAAAGGGGCCCAAAGGCAUCAGGAUGGGUUCUGGGCGCUGCCCAGCCCCGAAGCAGCUCCGUGCUCUCCUGCCUCUCCUGCGCGCCUUGAGCUGCCCUGCAGAUGAGGCUCCCUCUGCAGAGGCCGGGUCUCCACCCCCCCGUCCUCCCCACCAGCAUAACCAGUGCAGGGGUGCUGGUCCCCCUGUCCCUGCGGGACUCGCUGCCCUCCUCCUCCAGCCGGGGAGCCGAGGUGACCAUGGUCCGGCAGCAGAAGCAGUGCACGGCACGCGCGAGCAGGCAGACACAGCUCUGGCAGCAGUUUGCAGAUGCCCGAGCAGCCCACGCCUGCCCCUUCCCAUCUCACCAUGGCCACGGAGAUUCCUGGCCAGCUGA